rnacentral:tRNA from 1 species
UCCCUGGUGGCUCAGAGGUUAAAGCGUCUGCCUGCAAUGCUGGAGACCUGGGUUCGAUCCCUGGGUAGGGAA